rnacentral:rRNA from 1 species
GAUGAACGCUGGCGGCGUGCCUAAUACAUGCAAGUCGAGCGAACAGACGAGGAGCUUGCUCCGCUGACGUUAGCGGCGGACGGGUGAGUAACACGUGGAUAACCUACCUAUAAGACUGGGAUAACUUCGGGAAACCGGAGAUAAUACCGGAUAAUAUAUUGAACCGCAUGGUUCAAUAGUGAAAGACGGUUUUGCUGUCACUUAUAGAUGGAUCCGCGCCGCAUUAGCUAGUUGGUAAGGUAACGGCUUACCAAGGCAACGAUGCGUAGCCGACCUGCGAGGGUGAUCGGCCACACUGGAACGGAGACACGGUCCAGACUCCUACGGGAGGGAGCAGAAGGGAAUGUUACGCAAUGGGCGAGAGCCUGACGGAGCAACGCCGCGUGAGUGAUGAAGGUCUUCGGAUCGUAAAGCUCUGUUUUGAGGGAAGAACAAAUGUGUAAGUAAAUAUGCACUUCUUGACGGUACCUAAUCAGAAAGCCACGGCUAACUACGUG